rnacentral:lncRNA from 1 species
GGAUUUCCGUGGAUUUCAGUUACCCGGGAGUCUCGGUUAUCCCAUCAGCAGCUCUCACCCCGACCUCAGGGUCCCAGGGACACGAGACUUACUUGUAUUUUUUAUUGUUUAUCUCCCUUGGACGAAGUCCCCUAAAAUGCACAACCCAAGAACGAUACCCACACUUUCUGUUUUUCCCCCUUUCCCCCCACUCCCGGCUGCUUAACUUCCCCCCCACCCUGGGGGCCCCCAGCCCAGGGCCCGUGUCCAAAGUCGGCCGACGCCCCCAUCCCGGACCCCUGCUCCGGGCCCCUGUCUGGAGAUGCCAGAGGAAGGGGACGUUCCCCCAAUCCCCUCCUCCCCCAUUGACCACCCCCAAGCCCUCUCUGCACAUCUGCUCUGGCCCUUGGCUGGGCCCCCUGGGGACACUGCUUCAUGGGGCCUGGGGAAGCAGGACAGACACCUCCACUUAGCCUCACCCCUCCUCACAAACCAACUUUCUUCUCCCCCGAUGGCCGCCACAGUCUCAAGGGGGAUGACAUGACUGAGGCCCUGUAGAUCACUUGGGCCCCCACCUCCUCCCCGAUACCUGCUGGACCUCACAAAGGCUGCAGAAUGGGAACAAGGGGGCACAGCUCCCAGAAUUCCAGGGCCUCUCUUUCUCCUACCAAGGGGUGGUACUUGUGCCCUGGCGCCUCCAAUGCCCAGCCUUCUCCUCCCCACCUCUCCCCAUUAGGGGGAUACUUCUUCUAUCUCUUGAACUGUGCAGACCUCCAGGAGGGGGACAAGGGACUCCGAUCCCCCCAUUCCUAGCCUCUCCUCCACAAUGGGUGUCUCCCAGCAGCUCUCCCCCCUCACUCCUCUGCCCCUACUAGAGCUAGGACAUUCCUGUACUUGGGCCAUCAGGCCCUAAAGCUCACUGCCUCCCCAAGUCCCCUUCUGGGGCUGCCCAUCUCCUGCUCAGCCACAGAGACCCUUCCCCAAGAGAAAAGACCUCCCCUCCCCCAAAUAAUGUUUACAGUCUCUGGUGAUCCCUUUCCUGUAAAUAUCACAUUGGUGCGGUAGCCAGCCAGGCCCGGACGCUGCCAUCUUUCUUUCUGGGAGUUUAGACAAUGUUCCCCAUGGAUUUUUUUCUUUCUUAAUUUUUUCUCUUUGGUUUGAAGGUCAGGGGUGGGAAGGGGUGCGGGUGGGGAAAAGGGGGAGGGCUGGAGGGGUUUAUUACCUGGUCAUUUUCUUUAGGAAAAGGUUUUAGGGGAAGGGGUGCGGGUGGAUUGGGGAGGGGAUGGGAAGGGGAGCCUGGGGAGUCUAAAUUUCAAACAGUUCUCAAUGCUUAACUUAUUUAUUUAUUGCGUUUUACUUUUAAUAAGUUGAUUUUUUCUGUCUAAAUAAAGAAAAAAACUUUAAAAGUGUCCA